AACGAACGCUGGCGGCAGGCCUAACACAUGCAAGUCGAGCGAGGACUUCGGUCCUAGCGGCGGACGGGUGAGUAACGCGUGGGAACGUGCCCUUUGCUACGGAAUAGCCUCGGGAAACUGGGAGUAAUACCGUAUGUGCCCUUCGGGGGAAAGAUUUAUCGGCAAAGGAUCGGCCCGCGUUGGAUUAGGUAGUUGGUGGGGUAAUGGCCUACCAAGCCGACGAUCCGUAGCUGGUUUGGGAGGAUGAUCAGCCACACUGGGACUGAGACACGGCCCAGACUCCUACGGGAGGCAGCAGUGGGGAAUCUUAGACAAUGGGCGCAAGCCUGAUCUAGCCAUGCCGCGUGAGCGAUGAAGGCCUUAGGGUUGUAAAGCUCUUUCAGUGGGGAAGAUAAUGACGGUACCCACAGAAGAAGCCCCGGCUAACUCCGUGCCAGCCGCCGCAGUAAGAC
rnacentral:rRNA from 1 species